rnacentral:rRNA from 1 species
CGCAUACGUCCUACGGGAGAAAGGGGGCUUCGGCUCCCGCUAUUGGAUGAGCCUAUGUCGGAUUAGCUAGUUGGUGAGGUAAAGGCUCACCAAGGCAACGAUCCGUAGCUGGUCUGAGAGGAUGAUCAGCCACAUCGGGACUGAGACACGGCCCGAACUCCUACGGGAGGCAGCAGUGGGGAAUAUUGGACAAUGGGGGCAACCCUGAUCCAGCCAUGCCGCGUGUGUGAAGAAGGCCCUCGGGUUGUAAAGCACUUUCAGCGAGGAAGAACGCCUAGCGGUUAAUACCCGUUAGGAAAGACAUCACUCGCAGAAGAAGCACCGGCUAACUCCGUGCCAGCAGCCGCGGUAAUACGGAGGGUGCAAGCGUUAAUCGGAAUUACUGGGCGUAAAGCGCGCGUAGGUGGCUUGAUAAGCCGGUUGUGAAAGCCCCGGGCUCAACCUGGGAACGGCAUCCGGAACUGUCAGGCUAGAGUGCAGGAGAGGAAGGUAGAAUUCCCGGUGUAGCGGUGAAAUGCGUAGAGAUCGGGAGGAAUACCAGUGGCGAAGGCGGCCUUCUGGACUGACACUGACACUGAGGUGCGAAAGCGUGGGUAGCAAACAGGAUUAGAUACCCUGGUAGUCCACGCCGUAAACGAUGUCGACCAGCCGUUGGGUGCCUAGAGCACUUUGUGGCGAAGUUAACGCGAUAAGUCGACCGCCUGGGGAGUACGGCCGCAAGGUUAAAACUCAAAUGAAUUGACGGGGGCCCGCACAAGCGGUGGAGCAUGUGGUUUAAUUCGAUGCAACGCGAAGAACCUUACCUACCCUUGACAUCUACAGAAGCCGGAAGAGAUUCUGGUGUGCCUUCGGGAACUGUAAGACAGGUGCUGCAUGGCUGUCGUCAGCUCGUGUUGUGAAAUGUUGGGUUAAGUCCCGUAACGAGCGCAACCCUUGUCCUUAUUUGCCAGCGAGUAAUGUCGGGAACUCUAAGGAGACUGCCGGUGACAAACCGGAGGAAGGUGGGGACGACGUCAAGUCAUCAUGGCCCUUACGGGUAGGGCUACACACGUGCUACAAUGGCCGGUACAAAGGGCUGCGAGCUCGCGAGAGUCAGCGAAUCCCUUAAAGCCGGUCUCAGUCCGGAUCGGAGUCUGCAACUCGACUCCGUGAAGUCGGAAUCGCUAGUAAUCGUGAAUCAGAAUGUCACGGUGAAUACGUUCCCGGGCCU